AACGUAGGGUGCGAGCGUUAAUCGGAAUUACUGGGCGUAAAGCGUGCGCAGGCGGAUUGUUCAGCAAGACGUGAAAUCCCCGGGCUUAACCUGGGAAUGGCGUUUUGAACUGGCAGUCUAGAGUGCGUCAGAGGGGGGUGGAAUUCCACGUGUAGCAGUGAAAUGCGUAGAGAUGUGGAGGAACACCGAUGGCGAAGGCAGCCCCCUGGGAUGACACUGACGCUCAUGUACGAAAGCGUGGGUAGCAAACAGG
rnacentral:rRNA from 1 species